rnacentral:rRNA from 1 species
GUGGGGAAUCUUGCACAAUGGGGGAAACCCUGAUGCAGCGACGCCGCGUGAGUGAUGAAGCCCUUCGGGGUGUAAAGCUCUUUCGACAGGGACGAUAAUGACGGUACCUGGAGAAGAAGCUGCGGCUAACUACGUGCCAGCAGCCGCGGUAAUACGUAGGCAGCAAACGUUGUUCGGAGUUACUGGGCGUAAAGAGUGCGUAGGCGGUUCGCCAAGUUUGGUGUGAAAUCUCCCGGCUUAACUGGGAGGGUGCGCCGAAAACUGGCGAGCUUGAGUGUGGGAGAGGGAAGCGGAAUUCCUGGUGUAGCGGUGAAAUGCGUAGAUAUCAGGAGGAACACCGGUGGUGUAGACGGCUUCCUGGACCACAACUGACGCUGAGGCACGAAAGCGUGGGUAGCAAACAGGAUUAGAUACCCCAGUAGUCC